AUGGGCAGUGUCUGGGUGGCACAUAGCUGUGGUCGUGGCUGCAUUGCUAGCUUCUCACUCAGCCAUGCCUCACAGCAGUCAUUCUUUGGGAAAUGGGAGUUGGAUCAUUGCCUGUUCUGAAACCCAAAAUGUCACAAAUGAUGCUCUUCUUUAUACAGUCCAUUCUCAUGGCUUCUGAGUUCUUACCAGAGUCCUAGAUGACACUGAAACUGGAAAUCACAGGCGCUUUCUCGUGAAACACAGACAAGACAAUAUGCAGUACUCAUGUUCUUUCUGAUUCUGAGCCUGAACAUCAUCAGUGUGGUUCAUCAGUGUGUGUGUGUGACCCAAGGGUCAACCUGAGAGGCACCUGCUGUUUCUCCUCCAAGAAAUUCUGUGUGCAGGGUGAGGCUUUCCUCGUGAAUAGCUCUUGUUAUGAAGAAUCCCAGCUGAGGCUUGUAGGGUUCCAGCAACAAUGUGAAAUGCAACACAUGAUGGUGAUGACCAAGGUGUCUUCCAUACUUAUGGGGCCAGUUUCUAAAGCCUUAUUGGUACAACAGCACUGAUAUCAUUGCCAUGUUACACAGUCUGCACAGUUUUUAAGCAUCCAAAAUGUAGCAAGAUGUUGGAGGGCCUGAAGAAUCACAAAGAAUAAAUCCUAUAGGGAGAUAAGAGUGAAACAAACACAUCCAGUACAAUUCCACUCUUGAAUUUGCUCAUUGAAGAACUUGGAAAUUGUCUGUUGUUCAAUGUUAAAUGGUAGUUCAAUCACGAGUGACCCUCCUAAUACCAGUCUCUCCCAUUCUGAAAACAUUAGAAUAUGCUACUUACACAAGCCCCUGGGUUUCCCAUGCAGUCUGUUGCACUGACCAUGUGUUAGGUCCCUGCUUCAAAUCAAGCCCUGUGUCAAGGUGCUGCGGUGCUCGGAGAGACAGUGUCCUGGGGCUGGUGGAGAACCCGAGGACUCACUGGCUGUAAAGAAACAUAAAGCUGUGAAAAAGUCUGGCUCCUGCUGGGAGAGAUUCAGUUUCAAUAUCUGGCAUCAGAUUUGGGGGUGGAGAGAGCUAAGCCAUCAUUUUAGUUACUAAAAUCAGAACAUUUGGAAAGAAAUUGAUAUUUAUCCUGCCCAAAUCAGUGAACCAGAGGAGCCAUGGGCAUGUGGGUGUCUUCCUGCAUACCAGAUGAACACAUAUUUAUUUCCAUGAACUCUUUGCUCUCUUUCUUUGAGAGAUGGGGAGAGAAAUCUGUAGGUCAGCUGUACUUUUAAUCAUACUAGUUUGUCUGGUCUUACAAAGGCGUGGUUCAAUGAAUUGAGCGGGUUGGGCGCCCACCACCCAGAUAAAAGACUGAUAACCUAUUCAGCAAAAAGCCCCACUGCAAGUGCCUCAUUGAGCUUGUUACCCGUUAUCUUCCAAAUAUCAAUUUGGGUUAAAAGGAUUGCCUGGCCCCCUGACAAGUAUUCCCUGGCCUCUGUACAGCAUGUUAUUGUACGGCACUUCCUCAGGAACUAUAAUUAGGUGAUCAUGUAAGGAGUUCACAGUGCACGUUUGAAUAGCGACUCUAUUUGGCUCAUGAUGUCACUCGCUCUCUCUGGUGCCUUCUCAUUAUAUGGCUUUUGCCAUGGUGUGCUGGCAUUUAAAACAUGUGAAGUCAGGCCAUGGGUUUUCUGUGAGGUAAUGACAGCCUUCGGAUGAGUCACUUGGUAUGUACCUGAAAUAAUGACGGCUUAAGUAUCAGAAGGGUUGGGAACCUCACAUUUUAACUACUUGGUCACUUAGCUUUCCAAAGGUUUGUUUGUCUGGAAAUUGGAGGUUCUGGUACUAGUAGCCUCAGCUGGAUUAGUGUGUAUUCAGUUGCCAUAACAGAAUUUCUCAAACUUGGUAAGUUUUUAAGAAAAGAAAUCCAUUCCCUAUAGUCAUGGAAGCCUGGAAGUCCCAUAUUAAAAUGUUGGCAACUGGCAAGGGCAUUUCUACUAUAUCUUUCUAUGACACAGAGCGAACAUGUGAGACAGGCCAGUGGCAGGGGGAGCCCACUCUGUGAUCUUCAGCUCACUUUGGCAAUAAUUCAUGCAUCCAUUUGUGAGUACAAAACUCACAUGACCCCACAACUUCCAGCACCAUUGCUCUGGGAAUUAAUGUUCUAACUUGUAACUUUGGGGGACACAGCUAGAUAUCACAGUUAAGACUCGGUGUAUUGAUUUCCUCCUCUCAUGUCCAUUCAUUAUCACAUUGACAUUGCCUUUCUUGAGCAUCACUAAGCUCUUCCCACAGUCACCACUUUAGGCUGAGCCUUAGAUGACUACUAGUGACCUAGUCCUUGAACCAGUCUCACAAAAGCCACUCUACAUUUCUGAAAAACCAGACAAUUCCAUGGAGACAUUCAGGGAUAACCGAAACAUUCUAUUGAUGUCUCUGCACCUUUACAUGUCAGAUUCUUGUGAUCCGGAAAUAUAGCUUGAUUUGCACUAGGUUCUAUCUCAGCCUUGUUAAGCCACUUCUCUCCUCACUGCCUACUCUCCAGCCAUAUAGUCAUCUCUUUGGCAACUCAAGAGCACCCAGAGCAUCAAAGAGCAUCAAGAGCAUCAAAGAGCAUCAAAGAGCAUCAAGAACAUUAGAGAACACCAAAGAACAUAAAAGAGCAUCAAAGAGUAUCAAGAGCAUCAAGAACAUCAGAGAACAUCAAAACAUCAAAGAGCAGCAAGAACAUCAAAGAGUAUCAAGAGCAUCAAAAGCAUCAAAGAGUAGAGUAUCAAAAGCACCAAAGAGUAUCAAGAGCAUCAAAGAACAUCAAAGAGCAUCAAAGAGCAUCAAAAGCACCAAAGAGUAUCAAGAGCAUCAAAGAGCAUCAAAGAGUAUCAAGAGCAUCAAAGAAUAUCAAAAACAUCAAAGAGUACCAAGAACAUCAGAGAACAUCAAAACAUCAAAGAGCAGCAAGAACAUCAAAGAGUAUCAAGAGCAUCAAGAAUCCUCCUCCAGCCAAACCCUGUUAAUUGGAUCAUACCUUCAUAACUUCCUUGGGAAACCCUCAUUUCCUAGUCACUCCUCAAGCAAUACUUCUUCCCAAGUGCAUUACAGCUGCACUUACAAUUACCCAGGUGGAAAAUUCUUCAAAACUUGUCUCCUCUCUAGCAUUGUUUCCUUUUUUCCUCCCCUGAAACAAGGUUUGACUUUAAACUUGCAGUAACUUCCUGCCUCGGCUUCCUGAGUGUUGGGAUUACAGGGCUGGUCAACCAUCCCUGGCUUGGGACUCUUUUUGAUUUUUAGAAGCAUUGCUAUGGUGGUGACUCUGUUUCCUAGGGACUUGAUAGUCUUAUGCUCAUCUUUCUCAUCAUGUCUAGUGGGCCUUUAAAAUGUACCUCAUCCAGCAGAGAAUGCAAGAAAAAGCAAUAUGACCUGCUGUGCCCACAGGAGGCAGUCAUUCCAUCCAUUCCUUCAUCUCAGGCUGAUCCCAGGUCAUAAGAUUUUCACAAGCAUUAGUGCUUCUGCUUGUUGACUCAUCUCUCUGUUCCUGAGAGACCGUGGGCUUCAUCCACAGCUAAUGGCAUAUACUCACAUAGUAUUCAAGACUUAAUUCAGGGUCCUCUUCUAUUAUUUUUUUAAACUCUUUGCUCUUUAGGGGCCUAGCUCCCAAAUAAUCACAUGGAGACUUACUCUUACUUAUGAAUGCUCAGCCUUAGCUUGACUUGUUUUAGCCAGC